rnacentral:lncRNA from 1 species
ACUUGCAGCCUCAUUCCUGCAGAAAACAAACCUUAAUUAGGUCAUUAUUACUUGGCUUGUGCUUACAGUUCAACUCUCUCUCUCUCUCUCUCAUAAAUGCACGUUUCAUUUCUCAAGGAGUCAAACUUAUAUCUGCAAAUAAGUAUAUUAUAAAAGUAUAUUUUGUAUCUGCAAAUAAGUAUAUUAUAAAAGUAUAUUUUGAUGCUCAACCUAAUAAUAUAUAUUACAUAUGAUAAAUACUAAUAUAUUUUAUAUAUAUUUAAUCAAACUUUAAAAAAUUUGACUCUUCAAAAAAUGAGACGUAUAUUUAGAGGGUGUUUGGAACUGCUCCACAAACUCUACUCCACAAACUCUAUCAUGGAGCAGCUCCACAAAAAACUGGAGUUUGUGGAGUACCUCUUUAGGUGCUCUCACAACUCCACCCUUUUUUCUCGAACUGAGUGCGUGGAGCUAAAACCGUUUGGCUAAAAAACGUGAAGUAGAGUAAAAAACGUAUAGCAGAACAGUCCCAAACACCCUCUUAUUUAUUUAUGGAGUAUAACACAUUCUCUAUUUACCGAUGCGGUGGAAAGUCUUCUCCACAUCUUCAUCAUAUCGUCAAAAGCAAGUCCAAUUGUUGUCACUAGAAAUUAUCUUCUUUUUUUGCCUAUGGAUAACUAUGAGUAGUUCAUUCCAGUAGUGUAAAAAAUUAUUACAUAUAUGGACAAACGAAUGACCUUUGAAAAUUGAAGCGUGGAAUUUGGCUCUGCCAUGCUGCGAAUAUACAGUACUAAAGAAUUUGUUGAAAUCUGGUGUGAUCCGAGUUCUGAAUGAGCUCUUAGUCAUAGACAAUGUUAAUUAAUUAAUUAAAGAACAUCGUUGGCUAGGCUUUCUUGAACAACGAAACAACAAGGACGAUGACAUAGCAGUAUCAUUAAUUGUUAAUGCGAUGCGAUAACGUAUUUUAUGCCUGUCAUACAUCGGCCCUGUUUGAUAUAGGGGUUAAAGUUAGUUUGCGCUAGUUUACACUCAACUAGCCUGAAAAGUAGCUAAAUAAGAGGGCUAGAGUUAGUUUUUUGCAACUAGCACACCCAAAAAAACUAUCCCUCCAUAAAGGUGAUUAUUUGGGCUAGUUCUGGUGGGGAGCACAACAAAUUUUUUUCUCCAACUCAGACUCUACAGGAUCGAGCUUAUCCUCUUCCCUAGCGAUUGAUCCGCCGCAUUCAUUGUCAUUUAAUCCUUUACUUCCAAACAUGUCUUCAACUAGAGUUAGUCGAAGACUACUCCUAAACUAAAAACUAACUCUAACUUCUAGCUCGGCUAGAGUAUCCAAACACGGCCAUACGACAUAGAAAUCUCCGUCUACUAGAUUACUGACGCAUUGGACAAGACCAUUGAUGUUCCAUUAUUGUUAGUCUCGUUCAAAAGAGAUAAGACAUGUUUGCAAUGUAUUCCCUCUGUCCAUCUUGUCAUUAGGCCGUCUUAACUUUUUCAAAAACUUAAUUAGCUCUUGGCUCUUAAACGUAACCGUGCAUGUGUUGUAUCUAGAUUCGUAGUAAAGACUGUGUAUCUGGCUAGACAGCGGAAGUGGAGUAUGUAGACUGCGUGCUUACACAGAAAAAAAAAACUAGUUUAAGUACUUGUUUGCUUAGUUUAUAAGCCAUGGCUAAAAGUACUGGUUGCUCAUUUGUCAUGAGAAAAAAACACUGCUGGAUAGCUAAUAGAUUUGAUAGAUAAACUCAAGCAAAUAGGACGAAUGGAUAUGUUUGAUUGGCCCCCAGCCAUGGCUUCCUAGAGCUAUUUUUUUGGUUUUUUGGUUCGGUAGCCAUGGGCUGAGGCCUGGCUAGCAUCAGCCACCUGUAUGCCCGUAGCCUGGCUCGGUUGGAAUAAUCGAAUCGGUGAUUCUCCUAUAGUCAGGCUCGAGUUAGUCGCUCAUCUCAUUGGCAUCACCUCCUGUAGUACUGUGUGCCGCCGCUCCUCCUCGUUUGCGUCCGCUCCUCCUCCAUGCGCACCUCGUCCUCCUUCCCCUGCUGCUUCCCCUCCCCAUGGCGGCGCGAACUCCUUUACUUCCCUGGCUCGUGCGAGCUCCUUCUCCUCCCCAUCCCCUCCCUAUCUAGCGCGAGCUCCUUCCCCUCCCCUGGCGCGCAUCUCCUCCUCCGGAUCCGCAAUCUUGGGCACUGAUUCGCCUCCAUCUCUGGCGGUCGCCGGACGGACGUGGGAGCGGCAUUGUUGACGAGACUUUGACUUCACAAUACACGAGUGGGACGUGUGGCCUGGGCACACCGACUACCGACAUAGUGAUAUCAAGCCGCGUGGUCACACCGUCAUACUCAAUCCACACCUGCAGGAGCUUCCCACUGGCCAGGGCGAUGUCGACGGACUUGGUGGACUUGGAGGUCACAAUCGAGGUCACCCCGUAGUUCACCAUGGAUGGAGGCGGAGGCAGAGGUGUUCCGUUGCUGUUGCAGUUCGCCUCAUAGCGCGUCGCCGGCAAGCUCCGGGUAUCGUUGUAGUACGACAGUUCGCCUCGCCAUGAGCUGGAAGACGUUGUGUCCUCUCGCUGUUGCCCAUGCUUGAAGGAGCUUUUCCUUAAGGAGAUCGCCCUGUAUGAUGAGCUCAUGACCCAACCGAAGUAGAGCAGCAGCACCAUGGCGGAGCUCACCAUAUGUUCGAGAGAAUACUUCAAAGGGGGUGAACUCACCCUCAUCCUAGCCAUGCUCGGCAGCGCACGCAACCAAAUAAAUUAAAUGGGUCUUGACUUGCUAGGGACAGGCUUAGACUAGUUUGGCUUAAUUUUGCUAGCUAGGCUUGUCUAGGGGAUAAACCAAAUACACUCAUAUUUUCUUGAAUGGAAUAAUAAAAUAGAGAUAUUUGUAGCCAUUAAGGCAUACUAUUGCACAGUAACCAAUUCUCUAAAAAAACUAUUGCACAGUAACUUGUUUCGGCAAGUGGAAAUAGUUGUGUAUCUGAAACCAACAAUUGGCUGGGGCCGAGCCCACUGAGGAAAUUUCUAGAAAAGAAGGCCAAUUUCGUGCCGGCAAGAAAAAAUACAGGUACGUAAAAUAGUGGCUCUUAUUAUGAGGUCUUGCAUCGAUGUUCCUAAAAUGAAAAAUAAACGUGUUGGAUGGUGUUUGUGUGUGAAUGGCGUCCAUCCAUCCAUGAGAUCAGAACGACAAGUCAAGCACGGCAUAUAGGAGCUAGCUUAUUAGUGUGGCUUUGCUGAGACGAAUGAAAGCAACGGCCGGCGCGCAUAUUUUCAAUGCGUGUAGCUUUCAAGCUCGAAGAUAAAGACAUGACAAAUGAAAGGCCGGCAUCCGUGCAAUUCAGGAAAUUCGUCAACCAAGCUAGCCAGUGAACUUGCAGAUAGAUGCGUGUCUGUUCGCUUGAUUGAUAAGUCAUGACUAAAAAUAAUAUUUGUUAUUUUUUUAUUAAAAAACAACUGUUAAAUGGUUAGCAAAUUCGGUAGAUAAGCUUAAGCGAACAGACAUGUAUAUAUGCUUCAAUAAUUGACACUAGUUAGCUAGAGAGAUGGUACAUCAUAAAAGAAACCAAAGUUUAAUUUCCACUGAUUAUUAGUUAGCUACUCCUAUGUUCUUUUAGCUCAGCUAUUAAUGUUAUACUCACUCCGUUCAAAAUUGGAAGACGUUUUCACUUCUGUUAUGUAUCUAGACGUAAUGGUGCAUAUUUUAAAGGCAUAUUAUCAUAAUUUGAAAUGGGAAGAGUAUUUUAAUUUGGCACAUCAACUCCUGCAGUUCCAAUCAAUUUAAUUUUGGUUUUGCACUUUUGCAGCAUCUAAUACGGUUGUCCCUUACUACUGAAAUAGUAUAAGAUAUUCUAUUGGGGAAAAAAACAUUGGAUCAUCUGAUACACCUCUUUGAUUGCUAGAUACUAUUAAUCCUCUUUCCUAUGAACUUGAUCGAAGUUAGGACAGUUUGACUUUGAACAAACUUAAUUGGAUCUUUUAUAUUUAAGGACAUAAGGAGUAUUACUUACAAAUAAUUAAAGUAGAAUUCGAUUACCAGUUAAAUUGAAAUCGAAAUAUAUACUCCAAGAAUAAUUCUGGAGACAAGUGGACAUUGGAUCGGAGGCCAGGAGGACUUGUUCCGGAGAGAGCCUAUGGCGUGCUGACACGGCGCGUUGCGUGCCUGUGUUGGCUCAAUAAUUGGACGAAGCCGAAUCCUCCAUCCACUGCUAUAAAAACCGGUGUAGGGGCUUCAUUGUGCUCAAGCUCAACCAAAGCGACUUUGUACAACGCCCUUUGAUAGAUAUUUGUUCUUGAGCUUCUUCGUUUUUGCACCAAAAGACAAGCAGGAUGUCUUGCAGCUGCGGAUCAAGCUGCAACUGCGGCUCAAGCUGCAAGUGCGGGUAAGCUAGCUAGUCAUCACUCUCUUUACCUGGCUAAUCUCUUGUUUACUUAGUUUCUUUUCCUUUGAUUGAAUGAAUUCAAAUCAAAAAGUAUAUAGUUCGUUUGCUGUUCGUUUGUAGCUACUAUAUGUCUCUUCACAACAAACAUGGAAAACAUACAUCUGAACCUGUCCGGCUGAAGAAUAAUUAUUGAACUUCUCUACAACUAGUAUUAUAAGUUUGUUUGUUAAUUUUGGGUCCGUCCGUUGACUACCUGCAGCAAGAAGUACCCCGACCUGGAGGAGAAGAGCACCGCGGCGCAGGCCACCGUCGUCCUGGGUGUCGCCCCGGAGAAGACAGCUGCUGCCGAGUUCGAGGCCGCGGCGGAGUCCGGCGCCGAGACCUCCCACGGCUGCAGCUGCGGUGACAGCUGCAAGUGCAACCCCUGCAACUGCUGAUCGACCGACGACCACACAUGGGGAACGAAGACCGACGAUAUGCAUGCUGCUGCUUAUUUGAUGGUGAUAUCGAUCUUGUGCCGGCGACGUACGGUACUACUAGCUACUACACUACAUGUAGUGCUCUGCAAUUGUGUUAUUGUGUGUGACGUAUGUAACUGAUGGUUGAACAAUAAGGACGAGCUAGCUAUCUGCUAUGUAUUUCGAUCUGGCUCGCCAGCAUGCAUAUAUAUGCGAUCUAUAUAUCUGCCCUUGUGUGCCUGAUCGAGAGAGAGAGUAUACCUCUUUUGCUUAUUGGCCUUGGCGUCAGUCUUGUGCUCUUGCAUUUAAUUAUGUGCAUGUGUGUGUACUGUGUAUCCAUCUUGUGCUCAUACAUCGAUCUCUAUGUGUCUCUGUACGUAAUGACGAUAUGAUUUCGUCCAGGGUGAUUUAUAUAUAAAACUGGUAUGGUUUAUUUGCCUGAGUAUCUUCACCGUCAUCACAAGGAUCAAAAUAACAGAUUCGUUAUGUGACUGGAGAACAAGAAUAUUUCGCAGAAGCCACCAAAAUUCACUUCUUUUUCUUCAAAAUCUUUAGCGUGUGCGGUCUGGACUUGGUAGGAAAAACGUGUACUUCAUACCAUGCAUCCUAUAUACGAAUAUAAAUCCAGUAUAUAUCUUGGAGAUAGAGAUGUUAGGUAUGGCCAAUUCCAUUCACACACAAUAUUCUCUCGAUCGGUUGUUAGGUAUGGAGUAAAAGGUGCUAUGUUUAGUUACACUAUGGAAGUUGAUGUUUGAGAGCAUAGAUUAGAUAUAUAUAAGACGGAAGUAACUCUCACCUAUCGAGACUCGCAGAAAUUCUAUUUAUCUUCCGGCAAAUUUUUAUUUCUGCUUUCUUCCACUUUUUGUGCGGUGUUGAUGGUUUCAAGAUUCGUGCUGUCACACAACAGCUGGGGUAACCAGCUAAACAGUGAAGCACAGAAGCAAAGCGUCGUCUGGGCGCAGCCAGAACCACUCAGCACAACGCAACUACUCUCCAAAGAAAAGCUCAAAACGAACACCAAAAGUACCAUAAACACCACGUGCAGCAAGCUAAACAACAAAAGCUACACUAGACUAAAGCAGAACACGUCUCCAGAACAGCCAAAUCUUCAUCUUCUGCACCUUAUCAUCCAAAAAUCUAACGAUAUCUUGAUCCUUCAAAAGUAUGCGCCAUUCUACAUGAGAAUGCAAAUUUUGUGAAAAACUUCAUUAGUGAUUUCAGAAACUUCUUUUCAGUCCCCAUCUUAUCCCCAACAUUCCAAAGACUCCAUAAGAUCACAAAAAAACAUAAACGGUUUGAUAUGAUGGUCUCUAACCCCUAAUUUGAUCCAAUGACAAAAAAAAACAUCAUGCAUAGAAACUGGACACCAAUUGCACCCCAGAGCUUCUUUAAAGCAAAACCACACCAUUCUAGAUAUAUGGCAAUUGAAGAAUAUAUGGUCAAAAGUCUCAUCCACCCUGCAUAAUAUACACCUUUUAUUUCCUUGUCAUUCUUUUUUCUUCAGAGUGACCCCUGUCUGAAGCCUAUCCUAUAUAGCCAUCCAGGCAAAAACUUUGCUCUUAUUUGGUAACCGACUACCCCAUAACUUUACCUUUCUUUUAUUGAUAAAUCCUCUAAAAGUUAGUCUUCUAUGCAUAGAACGAGUUGUGUACCUACCAGACUUGUUGUCAAGAAUCCACUCAAAAUGAUCACUCAAAAUGGACAUCCACUGUGCCUCCGCGCUUGCUCGCUCCCUCCAUUCCCCUCCCAUGCCUGCUCCUGGAACCCCACACCCUCUCCCAUCGACCCCACACCCACGGCGAGCUCCUCCCUCCCUCUCCUCUAGUAGCGGCAGUGGUGGGUUCCAGCAAGGUAUAGGCCUCCUCCUCUUUCUCCUCCUCCUAGAUUUAUGAUCAACGGCGGUAGUGGCUAGGGUUCUAGCGAGCUCUCCCCCUCUUUUCUUCUCCAACUCUAGCAGGUUUAGAAGGGCUCAGCCGGGAGAGGUAGGUAGGCUAGGUGGUGGGAAUGGUGGUUAGGCGGCUUAGGGGAGCUGACAAUGGUAGGUACGGUCGGGCCAGGUCACAGUGAGAGAGGCUCGUCGGAGUUGGAGAUGAUAAUGGCCGAGCUCGCCGGAGUUGGAGGAGAUGGCUGAUUGGGAGGGGGGGUAGGGCAAAGGAAGAAGGUCGCGCGGGCACGGUAGUCUCCACAAAGCUCCGGUGAGAACCUACCGCACCAUGGUGGUGUGCGGUGGGGCAGUGGCCCAUGAUGGAGGGCUUGGGAGGGGGACACCGGGCACAUGAAAGAACGACGAUGUGGAGGACGCUGGAGAUGGGGAGGGCGGCGUCCGGAAACAUAUGCAUGGAUCAGGAAUGCUCGUGCAUGAUGAAUAAUAGGUCCAGUGAUGACGCCUGAUAAAAAAAACGAACAAUUUUGCUCCAUACCGACUCAAACAGGAGCGGGCUGUAACUCAGAAGAUGCUGUAUAAAAAGAAACUGGGGCAAUUUCACCGAAUCCCAUAUUUGCUACUGUCAAAGACACGUGGGGUGGCACAUAUGUCAGUGAGACUUGGAUGGCAAAUAAAUCUAGGAUUAAAAGAAUUCAGUGAUGAAUAUCUAAUUACCCCUUUCCUACUGUCGUCAGUGCCACUAACCAAGACACGAAGUCAACUAGCCUAAAAACUGCGAUGCUUAAUCCAUGUUACAACACUAUGUAUUAUGUAUAUGACCAUAUAGUAAACUGACAAGUAAAGCUAAGCUGCAUCUCCCAUGUACUCUGCUGUUACAGCGAAACUAUGAUAGGAAGCUAUGGCAUCAUCGCAGCUCACUCCCUGACAAGUAAAUUAUUAUUAAGCUGCAUCGCCCAUGUAUGUCAUCAACAUCCAAUGAUUGCAACUCCCUUCCACCCAAGAAACUAAAAAUAGCAGCAAGAACCAGAGCAUCAAUGACACUUUGCUUUGCCACAUUUCAUAUCUCUGAGAAAAGAAACCAUGUUCUCUGCACUAUACCUUAACUUCAGACCUUUGACACUGCAAUGGCAAAACACAUGUCAGAGAGUUAAAAGAUCAGCUCAACAUGGUUAGUAUUGCAUAACAAGAUCAACAGGGAACACAGCAAAUGUUCAAAGUAAAUUGGUUCAUGUAAAAAUAAAUAAUUUCAGAACUCAGGCAAAAACAUCUUGUUCAGGGGAAAUGUAGCACAAGAAUAAGACAACAAGUACCUGCUAAUUCUGUACAAACUAGAGAAGAAGAGGUUGCUUUCGACUAGAACUGAACUUCACAUGUUGCCUUAUUGUGCCCUGUUUGUUUGCACCUGCUACAGAGUCGUACGAGAGUACUUAUCUUGUUGGAGUUAGACCGCUUCCUUCUUGGUUUAUCUGAUGAGCGCUGCUUGGGAGGCAGUGGGAGUAGAUUCGCACCAGCACUAAAAUCAACACUAUCCAUGUCAGGUAUUGGGAAGAUUAUUCCUGAGUAUGUCAGAUGGUAGCUUUCUAUUCUAAAGAACUUUGGGCAGUAGUCAUAUAAAUUGCGACCAAGCCUGUUGAACACAGCAAUGGCAUGCAUGCAGGGGAGGCCAGAGAGCUGCCACCGCCGGCAUGUGCAUUCCCAAUUCCCAAUAUUAACUACAAAAAUUGCAUUGCCCCUCACUUCAAACACAGUCUCAGAAGAACACAGAACAGUCAUUUUGCCAGCCUUCAGCAUCUCAUCCUGCACUUUGUAUUCCAUAGUUGGUGUUAAAGGCCCUUCCCACGCCUUGCAAGCUUCAAGCCUUGAUUCUAUUAUUUCCUUAAUCUUCAUUCUCAGUGAGUCUACCAUCAGCACUAUGGAACUCUCCUUCUUGGUUGGUAUCCAGUUAUCAAAAGCAUCAGCAAUGUUCAAGGAGAAAUUAUCAUACCGGCAGCCUCGGAAAAUGGCAUCUGACCAAUGCUCUGGCUUGCUCGCUAUUAUCCAGUCAGCAGCUUCACUGGAUAUAUUCCUUAUGCUCUCGAUGGAUGCAUUAAAAUCCUCGAUGUUGCACGCUUGGGCUGCACGAGUGAAAUCCUCAACCAUCCCCUCCCUUAUUUGUAGUGACCAUGGUCCCUUCCUCAGCUCUCCUUUAAAUUCCUCAAUGAUAUGAUGCAAACAGAAAGCAUGUUUACCAUCCUCAAACACGUGAGAAACAGCAGCAUCCAGACCCAUUUGUCCAUUGGACAAGAAUGUCAUGCCAUUGCAAGGGUAGUUGUGAGUUUGGAGGGCUAUUUUCAGAUGCAUUAAGAACCAACCCCAGCUAUCAUAAUUUUCAUCUUCAACCACAUUAAAUGCUAACGGAAAGACACCAUCGUCUGCAUCAAUGGCAGCAGCCACAAGCAACUUGUAAUCAUUCGUUGCUUUCAGUGGGACUUUGUCCAGAAAUAAGAGGGGCCUGCACCCAUUUACAAAGCCAUGCAAACAAGCAUGGAAUGCAACAAAAAAGCGGCGGUAUUUCAUAUCCACCACUGGAGACAACACACUUAUACUUCCUGGGUUGGUCUCCUCAAGCCUCUGACAAUACCAGGGUAACUGAUCGCGAGUCUCCCUGAUAGCAUGAUAAAUCUCUUUCUCUGCUACUUCUUUGCCUCGCCAAACCUGUGAAUAUGUUAGUGUAACUCCGUAUUCUUCAAACAAUUCCUUUACAAGUUCCUUUGGCUUAAACUUUGGGUUAUCAUGCAGCUUCUCCUUAAUGAUAGUAGUCAACCACUGUCUUGUUGCUCGACGCUGACCCUCUCCACUUCCUCCGCUACAAGUAUGUUCAUCUGUCAUUCUCUUGAUAACAAAUUUCUUGUUACGAGAUGAUUCAGACGCAUGCAACCUCCAGGUGCAGCCUCCUUCUGCAGCACAUUUUACAGUGACGCGACUGGUUUCAUUUUUUAUGAAUCGGUACACAAAUCCUUUCCCAAUAGCAUACUUGCACAACUGAGCACGGAAAUCUUUCACAUUAUCAAAUUCUUGACCAACUCCUUUGAUAAUGUCAUCCCACAAUGCAAUAGGAUUGUUAGGUCCCUGAGGCUCAUGCAUGAUCUCAGAACCAACAUAUGGAAUGAAUGCAUCAUCAAACAGACUAACUGCUUCCCUGAAAAAAAAAUCAUACAAAAUUGACAAAAAUCUCUCAAAAAAAGUAAUCCUUUUUAGCAAACAAUAUGGAAAGAGAUAUGAAUGUGUAACAAGUUACCUGGGGAUAUUAUCAACAAGAGCAAGCUUUUGCUGAUCAAGAAUAUCUGAUGUGAAGGAAGCGCCUCCAGCUGUGGUGGUAAAUGCGAUGUCAUUCCCAAAUUCCAACUGAAAAACCCUAGUUUUGAUCAAGAUGAAAACGGUAACUGGGAGUGGACAAUGUAGUAAAAAAAAUACCAUUGACUUAUGAACAAAGUAAAUAAUAGUACUGCAAUAGUGUAAUAGGAUAUAGUAACAGAACUGCAAAAUAGACAUUCAAGAUGAACUAGACCACAUGUCCACUGGGGACUUUAUUUGAUUAAACCAAAAGGUAUGGACCGUAGUCUAUAAAAGUGAAGCUAUUCCUUGAAAUGAAGAAACAACUUCAACAGAUGGCAGUAAGUAGAAAAAUUUUAUACAGCUAAAAUUUAGGAUCACAAUGGAAACGUUCGCAUUGGUAUGGACUGGUUCGUGGUAAGGGUCAGAGGACCAGAGAAAACACUAGAUUGUUAUCGCUAACAUUGAACUUGAUACCUCUCAUCAUGAGACUCUAUUAGCACUUAUUUUUUAUUUCUUUGCUUGAACCCAGGAGGAGAUUAUGUUUUUCAUAUGUAGUGAAGCUUUCUAAACGACACACUAACAACUUAACAGAGUGCACAGAUAUGUGCAGCUAACAGACAAAUGUAGGAACUAUCAGUUAAUUCAUAGCAUCAACAGAUGCAUUUUUCUCAGCAUUUACAUUGAAAGUAGUUUAUUCUGCAUAACAUCUCAGAGCAAAGAAGGCAUAGGUUAAGCAAUUGUGUGUAGGUUGAUCCUGCACCUGUUGUCUUCAUUUUCAGUAGUAACUGAAAUUGGUUGUCUCAAACUAUCUGUGAUAACUUGAACUGCAUUGCCAGGAGCGCUGGCAGCUGGCUUGCUGCUUCUGAUUACCCUAGAAGGGAUAGCAUUGAUUGUGAUGCUUAUAAGAGUAUGGGGUUGUACAUAAUGUUGAUAAAAAAAGACGAGCGAUACCACAUACUUGUUUUUGGAAGUGGGUCUUUUCCUUUUGUCACCACUAGCAACAGAGCCAGAUGUAGCUCCAGAUUGUGUUACAAUACUCCUGAUUAUCCAGCAUGAGACAAAACAAUCCAUCACCUCAUGAUAUGCUUGACGUUUCAGAAAAAGGUAGAACCAGACAUACCUGUUCUCUUGUCUGCUUAUCAGAAAAACAUCCACAUGUGCAGCAUUGGCAGUAAAAUCAACCAUCCUUUGCAAAUCCCGGUCACAUGAUAUAGUUAUGAGUGUUUUCAUAUUAUUGGGAAGAAAGUACUUGAGUGACAUGUCAGUGACAUCAACAUGGAACACCUUGGACAGCUCAUCCUUGAAGCCCUCCAGCGACGAAUCACGAGUAACAUCAACAGCAUGCGCUUCUCCACCUCUGUAUAUCAGGUUGCCACUGGGGCCAGAAGCGAACUCUCCGCCGUACUGGCAAAUGGCUACCACAAUAGCCCCAUCCGCCAUGCUCCCUGAGUCACAGAUUUAGUCAGUAUAAAAGACACAACAGUUUAGAAAGGAAAGUGAAAUUCAUCUCUGUCCAGCUUCACUGGUAUGGAUUACACUGAAUCGAAUAACAUGCAGUCAGCAAGUAAAAUCAGAAGAGCAGCAUAUGCAAGUCAACUAGUCAAGCAUGUCGGUUGAACUGCACAUGAUAUUUCAGACAAAGCAUUCAUCAAAGCAAAAGAUGGAGCGAAAUCUAAGACAGACCUGUAUUAUAUUAUGUAUUACAAAAAGGACUACUGGUUGAGUCACGUAACCAAAAAGUUUGCAACUUUGGAGCUGUCAAGUCAUCGUCGUACUGAACUUUCAGAAGACACAGAAUGUGAAAUUGUGAAUGGCUUCACGAUGGACAACAAACUUGUCAAUUUGAGCAGUCAAACAGUAUGGUAAUCUCAGCUACGAAUUGGAAGCCUGCGAAACUAACUUGAUGGAACCAAUUCGCCUAUGUGUCUGCCGUCUGCGUGUCUGUGUGACAGUAGUCAGGAGGAAAACAUGGGGCGCUGUGCCAUUCACUCCAAAUCGCGGGUCCGCUAUGACAACAGACACCAAAAGCAAGGUAGGUACUGAAAAAGAAAGGGGUCAAGUUGGGAAAUUUUUGUUCAAGAAUCCCCUACCAUUUACACAAAUCACACUAAGCGUUGAGUGCGAGACCAAGAAGAACAGCAGCCGCCGCUAAAUAACCAACGCCGGGGGGCCACCACGGAAAAACGUGGAAUCUCCUAGUCCUAGGAGAAGCACAGAAUUCACUUAAACCCCCAAAUUUUACGGAAAAUAAACUGCGCCGGCGCGGUGUGAAACCAGCGAAGCUGAAGAACCAAAACGAACCAUUGAACUGAGCAGGGACCUGAUGAGUUCGAUUGAGAACGGAACCGAACCCCGACUUCGCGCACAGAUUAAGGAACGCACGCAUGGAAUCCAAGCAAGCAAGCAAGGAGCUUUGGAGACAUACCAGCACAAGGAGGAGGACGAGACACCAAUCGCCGCCCCAACUGGAUCGGACGGGGUGAGGAGGCGGGCGCGGUAGGGGGCGCCGGCGGCGGCGCAGGGGCAGGAGGAAGAAGGGGAUCGGUUUGUUAGGGCUGCGGAUGGGAGGGGUAUUUUUGAUAUUUUUCUGGACUACUAGGGAAAACUUGGCCGGUUGUUUUUACAAGUUUGCCAUCACGUUAACGUGACCCUGCGUCCCUGCUCAAUUCCUCAAGGUCUGAUCUGAUAUAUUGCACGCCAAGUCUUUUUUCUUUUAUUUCCAACCCUCAGCAAUUCUUUUUACGACUAGGCAGCAAAUAUUAAUAAUAUAUUUAUAAAUGGAAGGGAGGGAUGAUAUUUUGGUAAUUGGGCAUUAAAUGUGAGAUAUCCAAAAAUCAAUUCUUUGAGAAAAUCUCUAGGAUUUUGUCAUUUAAGCCAUGUUUUAGUCUUGAACUAAGGAAAGACGGGGUUGGAUCUAAACUAUUGGGUUUCAAUCCAUCAAAUAGAAAAUUAAAGAAGCUGGAGGUCUAACAUUCAUGUCUGCGAAUAUAAAUAAUAUGUUUGAACUGUGAACAUCUAGUUGCUACACAAGUAUAUGAUAUAUAUUACAUAAAACUUGAAAGUUAAAUGGAUAGGCUUCUUGUUAGACUUCAAUUGCAAGUCCCACACACAAAUAUAGAGUCAAAUCACUAUUGAAGUCAAGAACAUAGAAAAGGGAAGGACUUUAGUACAACAUGAGUGUGCAGGAUUUGAACCUCCAGCGCGCACACCUCCUCACAGUAGUUUAGUCAAAAAAAAUACAGCAGCUAUUCUUCACAGACCAACCUCACCCACACACACAUGGUUUCGCUGGAGCUCCAUGGCCGCGGCGAGCUAGGGUUUCGCUGGAGCUCCGCGGCCAUGGAGCUCCAACGAAACCAUGGCUCACUCACAACACCACCUUCUCCCCCAUUGGUCGCUGCCAUGGCAGGAGCUCUCCUGCCCCGACUUGGCCUAGCCACCACUGUCGUCGCUAGCUCCCCUGAACCGCCUGCCAGUCAUCCCCGCCACCUGGCCUACCUGCCUCCUCUGGCCGACCAUUUUAUACACGCCAGAGUUCGAAGAGAUGAUAGAGAGAGAUCACUGUAACCCUAGCUUAGAGAUUCGGGAGGACGAGGAGAGAGGAGGAGGCUUACCUUGCCGGAUCCACCAUGACUGGGGCCGGAUCUGUCGGAUCCAGCAGGGCCACCAGCGGGAUCUGCCCAUGGUGUGCUUGGGCAUGGUGGGGCGCAAUGGAUGCUGGGAGGACCUCACCGGGCUCAUGAGACACAGACGCAACUCGCUGAGGCUCGCGUGGAGAGAGAGAGAGAGUAGCAUAGGGAAGAAAAGCGCGUUGGGAACAAAAGAGUCAUGUGUGUGUGGGUGAGCGUGCCAAGGGGUAAUAAAACACAUGCCCGUAAUUAAGGAUUUUGGGAAAAGGGAAAUAAAAUGGGUUGAAUACGAAGAAAGGGGAGGAAAAUUUCCACACCAAAUUUGACUAAUCAAUUUUUAUUGACAUUGUCUUCUCCAACGAUCUAACGAAUGCAACUUCAUCAAGCUCCACUUAGGGUUAGAUGUUGUGAUUAGGAGUAGGGUGUCAAAUUAGGGAGGGGAUCUAUGUUAGUGGGUUUAGAGGAAUGGAUAAUGGAGCUUGCUUGAGUGAGAUGGUGGUGGCGUAUGGGUGGGAUAGCUAACAGUGGUUGGUGUUGCCUGCCAAGAUAAUGAGGGUUGAUUGAGAGGGUUGAUGGUAGGGGCACAGUGGCUAUAGUUUUGGCAUCAGCGGCGAUCAUGGGAGAAGAGGAUCUAAUGGUAAUGGCACUACCCAAUUGAGAAGGACAAAGAUGGACGAUGGGGCAGCAUUCGGGGAAGGAUGUCUACAUCAGCAUCACUGCACCUAUUAGCACAAUGGUCAUAGGAGAGUCAAAUUUAAACAUGUUAUCUUGUAGGCAAGAAUAGUGUGGAAGUUCAACAUUCCAUGAGGGCGUUGAUGCUAGAGAAAGGCAUGGUUGAUAAAUGGGAUAGGGAUAAAAGUGAAAUUAACAAAGAAAGAGGAAGCUAGUGUUGAGUAGGAAGAAAUGAGUAGAAAAUAAUGUUGGGUGAUUGUGUGGCAUCCACAUAGGGGGUUCUUGUGUUACCACUAAAUGGAGAGUACUCGCUCUAGUCACCUCCUGCAUUAAACUAGUAGAAACACAUAUGGGCAUAAAAAUGUGUCUACUUCCUUGCUAGGCAAAUAAUUUUAAAGAUCAACGUCAUCACAAUGGAUUGAAGAUGAAAGGUUGAGUGUGCCAUGAGGGCAAGGAGUAACUAACUAUUUAGCAAGUGUUGUUGUGAUGUGUAGUUGAAGGGGUAAUAGACACUACUAGAUAAAUGGGUUUUACAACACCACAUUACAACUGACAAUAAAUAAACCAGUAGCAAUGAUACAUGUCAUUUCCAAUUUGCAUUUUGAGUCAUUAUAGUGAUACUUAAAGUGAAUAUUUCUCUAAUAUGUUACUCUUAUUUUGUAGUGCAAACCUGUUGCAAUAUAAGAGUGAGUGUUAAGGGAGGUCCUACCCUAUUCCUUGGCCAAUCAACCCAAUUUUAGUUGACUUUCUCAUCAAGUUACUUGUAGGCGAAGCAUGUUCUGGCUAGGAUGGAUAUUAUCUCUACAUGGCUUACUAUAGAUCGUAGAGGAGCUUAGUUGAUCUUAUACACCCUUGGAUUACUGCGAAGACAUAUACAAAUUGGGGGGACACAGUUUAGUGAGGAGAACACUCUAUAAGCCCCUAAUACCAACAAAUCCAAAGAUAACAAAAAUUGGAGCAAAAUAGUGGUAGGCCUAGCCCCUAGGGAAAAGAUCAACCACAUUUCUAUCUUAUUUUGCCAAAUUUCCUUCCCCUUUGAACCACAUAAUCAGAGGACUAUAAAUAGGUCUCUCGAAACCUAUGUUUCAACAUAAUCCGCUAAAUGUUGAAAGGAGAUCUUGGAGGGAGCUGAAGGGCAUUGUCAAUCCUCAAAGAUUAUUAAGAGAUGGCCCAAGCUAGAUCCGAGCUGCCAUGCAUGGUUGCCCAGUCUAGUUGGCCACGGUGGAGUUCUAGAGCCAAGCUUCAAGUUCAUUAGAGCAUGUAAGCACAAUGAUGGUAUCAAUCCUUAUGGUGUCUUUGUCUUACUUUAAGUCUAUUGCAAUGCACAUUUUAUUCAUAUUUAUGCAACGGCUGCCUAGUGGGUCUUCCUAGAUUAAAAGGAAUUGCUAUUUUUUAGCCUGGUUUAUAAUCAUAGCUGCCUCUAGAAAUCGAUUUGGAGGGAAAGCUGUUGUUGCUAGCCGCUUCUAGAAAUCGAUGGUUUCUAGCAACAUACAACUACCUUGAAAAAGGCCGAACAGUAGCUAAAUGAUAAAAAAUGAUAAUACGCCACAAACAAGCGCAUUACAAUAUUAUUUGCUAAUUGUUCAUGCUUCAUUAUUGCGCUCGGAAAAGUGAUGGUUUAAUAGGAAAAAACAUUGCAGAGAUUAAAGCAAAAAAACAAUAUAAUUUGUUAUAUAUUGUCAUGGUAUAACUUACGUCUUGAAAAAAAAUUUGGAACUAAACAAGGCCUUAACCUAGUAAAACAAAGCCAACAUGUCAAACUGAAUAGAGAAUGGUGCGAAUCCGCUGGCUAGCAUAUCAGCGUCUCUCGUGCAAAACAAGCCAGCUGACGGGCUGAGUUUGGUCUCGUCCGCCAUCCUCCUAUAUCUUCCGCUGGUUUGAGAACAGAAAAGUAAAUUACAUUUCAUUUUGUUGAUUUCACAUGCAAUUGGUGGUCCAAAAUAUUCUCGAAAGACUAUCAACAGAAAUGAAGCGUGUGUUCAGUCUACAGUACGUACACACAUAUGCGGCUCACUGUGUCGCCUUUGACCUAAAAACACGUAAUAAUCGAAUCCUAAAUACAUUAGCCAAAGAAAUUACAAUCACAUAGGUAUAGUAGAUAUUAAACUAAAAAUGUAUUUUUCUUUAGAUAAAGAAAAAAAAUUAAACUUGGAAAGCCAAAACAAGUAAAUCUUUGGCUUUGCAGUAUACUUGGCUAAAUGGGUGAGACCCAUUGGGCUUAGAGAUGUCAACGGGGAAUUCCUCGUCGGAGAGUGCUUCCCCAUCCCCAUCUCCGUGGGGAAGAAACUUCCCCCAUCCUUGUCCCCGCGAAAUGUCACGGGGGAGAUUUUCUCCUCAUCCCCGUCCUCGUGCGGGGAAUAAUCCCCGUGGGAUUCCCGUAUCCGCGUUAGUUCAUAUUAGUUUAUAUGAUGUUAACUAUUCAUAUAUUCACCAAUUCAUAUUAAUAGUAUACAAACAAAUCCCUUAUACAAAGAUUCACAUUUGAGACUGAGAAAGUGAAGGAUUAGGGUUUCAACUUUGCUUAUAUACCACAAUUAUUAGACCUUGCAAGUAUAUGAGCCUUCGAAAUCGGGUCCCCGUGGGGAGUGGGGACGGGGGCAUGCAUACCAUCCCCGUCCCCAUGAACCCCGACGGGGACAACUUUUGCCCCAUUUAAUACCAUCCCUGUCCCCCUAAUGGGUGAAUUCCCCGCGGACAUCUCUAAUAUUUGGACUGGCACUAGCAUGACACUAAAAAGCACAUUGUAAGCAUGGCCUGGCCCAAGGCCCAUUAUGCUCGUGCCUGGCUCAGAGUGGUGGUAGUGUCAUGCAUGGACCGUAAGUUUGGCCUGUAGUACCAACACGAGGGUCUACUUUGGUGUAGGAUUUACGAUCAUAAUUGUACCGGCAUGGAAAAUCCCUGUUAUUAGAAGGCAAUCUUAAGAAAGGCACGAGGGUCUUAUUCAAUCAUUAUAUAUUGAAAUGAAAUUAUUAUGUAUUAAAAUGAAAAUAAGUAACUGUAUAAGGAAAAACAAUCCCCGUUGAAGGCAAUCUUGAGAAAGGCAGGAAGCAUUAUUGAAUCAUUAUGUAUUGAAAUGGAACAAGUUUUUUUUUAUCACGAAAUGGAACAAGUUGGUCUUCAAUCAGAACUAGUCUUCAAUCAGAACUAUUACUAUUGCGAGUUUACUAGGUUACUAGUCUGUCCACAAUUCAUUGGGGAUCAUUUGAAACUGCUGUGCGGUUUCUAUCUGUUCACAUUUUUUUUUCUACCGAUAAGGGUAUGUAACAUGCUGCUUGCCUGGAAGCCUCCGUUCGUCCAUGUUAUGUGGAUGGUACUUCAGGCAUGUCACAAUAUUUAAAUAAGUUUAAAAGAAAAGGAAAAGGUACCAUGAAUAAUAAGUUAAGAAGCCUAUAUUAUUUUCACUCUGUCAAUUACUUCAACUCUAUUUUUUUUUUGUGUCAACAUCAAAUAGAAUGAUAAGUUAAGAAGCCUUUAUUAUUCACCACUACCACACACGACAAAGAAUCGCAACACGCGCGCGCCACCAACCAAAUCAUCAAAACACAAAGCUAGAACAGCUGGGAUAGGCUACACCAUAUUACCCUCGUGCUGAGGGAGAGGGACGGAUGAUAACAAUACAAUGGCGGCUCUCCUAAGAAGGACGACUAGUAGUGAUUGAGAGCAAGAAGCAUGGGUGUCAGACAUGAGUAUACAAGUAUUUGGCGCAAGCCCGGCAGUAUCAUCCUCCCGGCAUCACCGUGGCUGGAGCCUGGAGGAAGAUGUGGACUCGAGGCUGGUGCCUCUGCCCUCGCACUGCCUGGACUUGCUGCGCCCCGUCAGGAGACGUAUUUGCAACUCCCGUAACCUGCAAUAUAAAUCAAGAUUCAGACACACCAUGAGGAUGAGAUCAUGCAGGGUCAAAUUCAGAAACAAAUACAGACAAUCGUUCAACUUACUGGGGUCACUGGAGGUGACCACGCCGGUGCCCUUGAAGUUGCAGUCGUAGUCGUGCAGGCCAUUGGCCUGGUAGUACGCGUUCAUCACGUACGAAGCAUGCGACUGCACGUUGUUGGGGUCAAAGCACGCGCCGCCACUCUGGAUCGGCUUACAGUCGAUGUAGCCACAGGCGUAGUUGAUGUUGUUCUGCAGGUCGGUUGCGCUCGCGCCGGACUUGGCCACACACCACUUGCCUCCUCCUGACGGCGACGGGUUUGGGCUUGGCUUCGGAGAUGGGUUUGGAGAUCCGGACUGCAGGGGCAGAUAGAAGAAAUUAGUUGAUUGUCAGCAUCACUGCAUCAGAGUGGAACAAUUCAUUUUUGUCAACAAAAAAUUAGAAAUUGAAUACAGUCACAUGAUGGUGAGGCUAAGCAUUGUUUUUUCUCAAAGCAAAAUUUCCCUGGUAUUAGUUCGAGACUCUGAACUGAGAUAUGCUCAUGUGCACACUUAGCCCUUAAUCAAUUUAUUGUCAUAACCCUUUUGGUAAACUUUAGCCUGACAAGACUAUGCAAUUGUACAUAUGACUUUAGCAUGUGACGAGAUACAAACACAUGGUCUCUGGAGUCACUACUGGCAGCACCCAAAAGGCCAAAAUAUGCCCUGCCCAACUUGAUCGCACACCUAAGAUUCUUGAGUUAGGCACUAACAUACACGUCGCAGCAGAAUUCUAAAGAAUACAGACAGCCCCACCUUCUCCACAUGGUGGUGCACUUUGCCAGGGCAUCAGCAAAAGCAACAAGUUUGAAAUCGUCGCUUCCCACGCUGCCCCUACCUCAUUCUUUGAUUGGGCAAUUGGGGAAGCUACUCAGAUCAUAUAGCUCAAGCAGAGUAGAGAGAGUUACAAUGAAUGUUCAAAAGCUUGAGGUAAUGGCUACUACUCGGAAGCUAGAAACGGUGCGAGAGAAAGAGGAAAACCCCCAGCCAAGCCAUAAAGGUGUGCCUGACUUGUUGGUGGCGAUGACCACCUACUGAAGAAUCCUCAGUUGGAAGUACACGGAAAGCAUCCGGCAGUAAACCAAGUAAGAAGCUUUUAGGGGUACAUUCAUUCAGAUUUCAGAAUCUAGAGCCCAUCUGCUUUGCUUCCUGGUAGCUACUUGUGCAUGCACGGAACCUCCACCGAUUCCGAUGAAGAGAUAAAAGCAUAAAGGCAAUGGAUGUUACGUGUAUACUCGUACUACAAUAUACAAGUCAGAACCUAUAUAUGAAGCUACCCACAUCAUGCCCUAUCCAUAUACUAUCUGCAGUGUGUGGGGAUAAGCACCAUGUGGUGCAGUCUAGAAAUCAACAUGCGUGUACAAAACGCAUGGGAUGCCGUCAAAAGCCUGAUGGAGGCAUGGGAUGCCGUCACUAGACCCAUCGAGAAAAAAAUAAAAACGACAAGCAAGCAAGCACACAGGCUAAGAAAUCCUUUGACACAAUACUUGUAGAUGGCAUCAUGGAGACGGUUGGGAGAAGAAAAGUUGGAAACGAAAGCGACACUUUCCAGAUGGGGCGGCGGUCCGGUCCACGCGGCAACAUGUGCGUAUGGCUGCACCUGUACUCUCUCUCCUGAUAAUUCUCAGGCCUUGUUUAGUUCCAAAUUUUUUUGCAAAAUUGACACUGUAGCACUUUCGUUUGUAUUUGACAAAAAAUGUCCAAUCAUGGACUAACUAGGCUCAAAAGAUUCGUCUCGUCAAUUUCGACUAAACUGUGCAAUUAGUUUUUAUUUUCAUCUAUAUUUAAUACUCCAUGCAUGCGUCUAAAGAUUCGAUGUGACGGGGAAUCUGAAAAAUUUUGCAAAACUUUUUGGGAAGUAAACAAGGCCUCAGUGUGAACCAAACAGCAUUUCAAUUCUUGGCAGCAUCAGCAGCGAGAGAGAGACCACCCGUGAGUGAGCCAGCCUCAAUCAGGCAUGUGUCUACCCGGCCGGGUGCUUCUUUCCUUCCUUGCAGUGACACGUACAGUACAGACUAGUAGUAGUACAGCUUACAGUAUGAUGACGUUUCCGUGCUAGGUACCUUCCCUUCCCAACGGUCGAAUCUCACACUGGGGAUGGACGCCGGUGGCGAAAAUUUAAAAAAAAAAUCCAACUGAUUUUUCACUUCGCUGGGACCAAAAAGAAA